rnacentral:tRNA from 1 species
GGCCCCGUAGCUCAGGUGGAUAGAGCAUCGGUCUUCUAAACCGAAUGUCGCGUGUUCGAAUCACGCCGGGGUCGCCA